rnacentral:rRNA from 1 species
AUUGAACGCUGGCGGCAGGCCUAACACAUGCAAGUCGAGCGGGGUUUUCGGACCUAGCGGCGGACGGGUGAGUAAUGCGUAGGAAGCUACCCGAUAGAGGGGGAUACCAGUUGGAAACGACUGUUAAUACCGCAUAAUGUCUACGGACCAAAGUGUGGGACCUUCGGGCCACAUGCUAUCGGAUGCGCCUACGUGGGAUUAGCUAGUUGGUGGGGUAAUGGCUCACCAAGGCGACGAUCCCUAGCUGGUUUGAGAGGAUGAUCAGCCACACUGGAACUGAGACACGGUCCAGACUCCUACGGGAGGCAGCAGUGGGGAAUAUUGGACAAUGGGCGCAAGCCUGAUUCAGCCAUGCCGCGUGUGUGAAGAAGGCCUUCGGGUUGUAAAGCACUUUCAGUAAGGAGGAAGGGCAGUAAGUUAAUACCUUGCUGUUUUGACGUUACCGACAGAAUAAGCACCGGCUAACUCUGUGCCAGCAGCCGCCGUAAAAC